AAUUUAAUAAUAAUAAUUACAAAUAUUACACAGUUAAUAUAAUUAAGAAUUAUUAUACAGUAAUUCCGCGGUCAAGUCGGUCAAAUACAAAAAUAAUACGAAAUCGAAAAAUUAAUUAUUAAAAAUAAACCACAUUAUAAUUUUACUCUAAUGAUCUAUUAUAUGAGGAACAGCGUUUUCUACUUGACUUAACCUAACCUAAAAAAGAAAAAAACACUCGUAAGCAGCAUAUCGUCUGCCUAAUUCCCAAUUGUCCUGACUCCGAAAUGGCAAUAAUUUAAGAGUAACAUAAAACGCUUUUGUCGCAAAAGUCUCAACUCCCAAAUGACAAUAUUUUAUAUGGAGGACCGAUUGAGUUACAAUUUUUUUUUCGACGUUGUUCAAUUUUCGUUUUAUUCGUAUCAGCACUUUUAUGAGAGAAUACAUUGUUAUUAUAUAUAUGUCAACGUGUUUUUAAACGAUGGGCAAUCGCUUAUUAAAGUCUUAAACAUCAAAUAAAAAAAUCAACAUUUUCAGAACUAUGGCAGUUACGAAUUAGUAUGAUAAAAAAUAAAUAUAUCAUGUACAGUCAUUAUUUUCGGAGUGAAUACGACUAAAAAUUCAAAUACGAUCGCGUUUUACUUUCGACCACAUUAUACCUUCAUAAGCUUUUUAACCUCGGAGUUAUUUUUUGUUGUUCCUAAUAUAUAUGAUAUAUAUUAUACAUGACGAUUUAUAGACCCUCGUGUAUUGUAUGCGGUAAAACACAAAUCAAAACUUUUAUGUUUGGACGAUGACAUGUGCUGAUAAAAAUAUGAUAGACUUGUAACAAUGAAUGAAAUUGACGGGUAUUUCCAUACAUACAUGUAUACAUUCGUCCUUCAGUUUCACAAAAAAAAAAAAAAAAAAAACAUCGCAUUUUGUUACCGCAUUUCAUUUAUUACCGAAGAAAAUAUAACUGCAUUACUCAAAUGUUUAUAGGUAACAAUAAUUUAAGCUUAUAUAUUCACCGUUUCUUUUCACGAAUUUAUUUUUAACAACUAGUUCUUACUUAUAAAUCUAGGGCCCGAAACUUGAUGCAUUUGUAUACACACACAUAUUAUAUAUACAUUUUUUCUCCCUAAUACGUUGCACGUCUCUACAAAAAUUCGAUUCAUAAUGGAGUACAGAAUGGUACAAUAUUUUCCUUUUCAGAUAAUUUAUUUAUAAAUGUUUAGUGUAUAUGUAUACUAUAUAUAUAUAUAUAUAUAUAUUGUGUACAAAACGAGUUCUUAACGUAAAAUCAAAUCCGUAAUUGGAAAAUAGUUUUGGAGGGGGAUUGAACCCUCAAAAUCCCCCUCAGGUAUGGUCUUGCGUAAAAUUAUAGGUCAUUCAAAAACUCUGGCUCGAAAAAUUUUGUUUUAAUGUUAUUUGCAUAUAAUAGGUACUUCAAAAGCGAAAAUUUUUUUUGUUAUUUCUUCGGAGCAUUAGAAAUAUCGAAAUUCGAUUGCUAUCAUAAUCAAUGUUUUCUUACUUAUCCUAUGUAAUAACUUUUACGGUCAGUUUUUACAUUUUCGGAUAAUGCAUGGUAUUUAUGUUGGUAGA
rnacentral:lncRNA from 1 species